AACUCCAGGUUUGUGAUUCAGCAUUUUCUGCCACUGCCAGAAUAUGAAGGGGGAAAACUCUGCAGAAAAAGUUUCACAGAAUCACAGAACUGGAAGGGCUGGAAGGGACAUCUGGAGAUCAUCGAGUCCAACCCCCUGCCAAAGCAUGCUCCCUACAGCAGGCUGCACAGCAUUUUUAGAGCUUGGGGAUUAAGAUACACAGCCAAAAAGUUACUUAAAUAUGCCACAACAUGGAGAUUCGAAUGACUGGCUCACUGAAUGUCACGUGGGGUAGCUGCACAGUAUGUAUGGAGAGUGAGGAGCCUCAAAAGAGUGAAACCCGACUGCACAGGGACAUUGUUGAACCAGCCAGCAGAGACUAUGAGCCUGGAAAAGGGAGUUGCACAGGUGUUGUGAUUUUUCCAGAACAGUGUCAGGAUCCCAGCAGAGGAAGAAUACAUUGCUCUAAGGAGAUUUCCUCACUGAGAUGCAGAAUAUCUUGUCAUCACAGCUGCACUUGACAUUGGACCUGGUCUGCAUCUGCUUCGUUGCUUGAAGAUCUCUGUCCGCUCAUCUCCUUGUUCUUUCUGUUGCCUUUACUGACUGGACUCCAAAAUGAAACCACCAAGAUGAGUCUGAAAAGUUGAAUUGAUGUGAUCAUGGAGCACAUCGCUUACUCUGCACAGAGAACGCGUUUCAGUAGGAAGAGGUACUGAACCUCAGGAAAAAAAAUGUGUGAUUCAUAUGAACCUCCCAGCGUGGUAUCGUUGAAACACAGCGUUUAAGGGAGAACGUUUCUGUCGCUUGCAAGUUGGCAUGGGAAGAGGAGAGAUCCCGACAUCCCGACGCAUGGUGGAGCUCGAUGAUGGCGUAUGAGGUGUCCGGCCUCCAUAGGCAGACUCCUUAGUACAAAGCGCUGGAAAACCUCUCCGUCUCACUCUCAGAAGUUUCUAUAGCAAUCACUGCCGUCGUAGUGGAGGACUGAAAAUGGUGAACCAUUCAGAUUGUAAUUUGGCUGGACAGUAGUUGCUCCUCUCUCCAGCGGCCUCUGAAAUUUCGCUUUUUGUGAGCUAUCACAACUGGAGGAGUCCGGUCUUCAGCCCGUGUCUGCAACGAGCUUUGUCCCCCCGCACCCUGACUGACUGCGUCAGCUGUGUGCAGUGCCUGAACGUCGGCCAGCAGGACCUGGGGCGGAUGCCUGCUCCCUCUGCUCCAGGACAGGCCUUACGUGAGCGAUGUUCUUAACAAGGCGGCAGGAAAGAAACAACCCGCCGACACGUCAUCGUGUGACCUGAACGUCAUCCAUCACUGGAGGUAGAACAAACAAGUUACACAAGUGCGUUUGGCUUUGCUAAUUGUAAAAGAACAGAGGAUACAAAGGGAGCUUUCUCUUCGUGUCAGCGAGCUUACUUUCCCUGGUUCAUUUAACUUCAGCUUAAACAAUCGCUUGAUCUUUUGUUGCGCGCUUCAUCUUCCAGCGGCUGUGAUCUCUCUUAAUUACUGUGACGUUCACGAACCGUGCACUAAAAAUAUAUUAAGCAACAGAACUGAAGCGCCUGCUUUCUGCCCCGGGAGGAUGUGCCAGAAUUGUACCACGGCUUCUGAAGGAACCGACCGACCGUUUCCUAAGCUCUUCUAAUAAUCUUUUCUUACACUCUUAUGGCUAUUGUUGCCCACUGGAAAAAUGAGCGUAAAGCUGAGUAAGGGGAAUUGCGGAUAAGUGUUUGUAAUUUGGCUUUGGACUAACACAGUGUGAUUGCACUGAAAGAAUUUGAAAUCUUUGCACUGGCAGCGGCACUCGAAUCCGGGAAUAUAGGAUUCGCAUUGGAAAAGAGUGGAUUUUUAUAACCAUUUAAAUGAACAAUUUCAGCUAGAGAGUGGAUUAACGGAGCCAACUAAACCCUUCACCCUGACAAAGAACUGGCGGGAGAACUAUAGAAACUCAUCCAAAAUUUUACCAACAUGAAUGCGGAGUAAUAGGUCAGUGAGAAGCAUUUCUGUGUUUUAAUGACGCUCUUAGAAUUCAAUUCAAUUUGAAACAAAAGUUGUUUUACAAAUAUGAGGAGAAUGCAGAAGGCUGGAGAGGGAGUGAGUGGCCUGCAUCCCCCAUCUGCUCUGUCCUCCCUCUGCUCUCACACGCUGAGCUGCCACCGCAAGUCCUGCUUCUUAGCAAAUAGGAGGGAAAACACAGGCGCUGUUGUAGCCAAAGGGUCAGAAACAUCUCCCACUUUGCAGGGCCACGGAUGCUCCCGCUGUUCCGCUGCUUCGCUCCCUGCACUGAGAGGAGCAGUGCUGUGCUUCACAGCAGAACCUCCAAAGGAUGUGACGCUACAUGAGAUGAAACAUGGGGAGGAUGCAGCCUCCUGCUUCACACACCUUGGUGAAUCUCUAACAUGCCAUGGAGAAAUUUCCGGAUGAUCUUUAUCACCGGGUAUCAAUAGAGUCCUGCCAGCCCCUCAUGUGUCGCAGAGUGCAUGAAGACAGGGAGGUGUAAGGGGAAGCCAUGACCGCUGCUUGAUUAAAAUGUUCUGCUUUCCAGCCUGGCUCGUACAGGAUCCCCAGUCUGGCUCAGAGCAGAACCACAGCAGAGCAGUUUUGCUCUGAGCUGGUCCCAUUGCUCGCCCAAGCAGGAUGAUCUGCAAAUCCAUCUUAAUAGUUUAAAAAUUAGAGAUCAACCGUUUUGCACAAGUUGUGAUUUUAAAGGUGAAGGAUAUUUCCCAUACCGAUGUCAAUAGACACAUCAGGAUUAUGCUCUUCCUCCUUCAUCAGAUGUUCCAAGCUGUGCAAAACCCAUUGCCAACCGCAGAACUAAUUGGCUGAUAGUGAAAGAAGCUCUUAAGCAAUAAGAACCCCAUACAAGCAGAAGGAGAGCAUUUUAACUGUGGUUUGCACUGAGAUGGAGCACCCAACCCUCAGGCUGCCGGAGAAGAGAGAUGUGGAAAAAUGGUUUCCAAGACAGAAAUGAGAGCCCACCAGUGCUGGGAUGCCGGCAGCAGUAACAGAGGAGGACAAACCCGAAUCUGUUCAGAACACGUACCAAGAAAUAGUGGGAACAAUAAGUGAAUAACAAUAAGCUUAUAAAAUCUGGAUGUAUUACUUCUUUCUGUAUUACAACAUAACUUAUUUU
rnacentral:lncRNA from 7 species